rnacentral:rRNA from 1 species
GAUGAACGCUGGCGGCGUGCCUAAUACAUGCAAGUCGAGCGAACGGACGAGAAGCUUGCUUCUCUGAUGUUAGCGGCGGACGGGUGAGUAACACGUGGAUAACCUACCUAUAAGACUGGGAUAACUUCGGGAAACCGGAGCUAAUACCGGAUAAUAUUUUGAACCGCAUGGUUCAAAAGUGAAAGACGGUCUUGCUGUCACUUAUAGAUGGAUCUGGGCUGCAUUAGAUAGUUGGUGAGGUAACGGCUUACCAAGGCAACGAUGCGUAGCCGACCUGAGAGGGGGAUCGGCCACACUGGAACGGAGACACGGUCCAGACUCCUACGGGAGGCAGCAGUAGGGAAUCUUCCGCAAUGGGCGAAAGCCUGACGGAGCAACGCCGCGUGAGUGAUGAAGGUCUUCGGAUCGUAAAACUCUGUUAUUAGGGAAGAACAUAUGUGUAAGUAACUGUGCACAUCUUGACGGUACCUAAUCAGAAAGCCACGGCUAACUACGUG